rnacentral:rRNA from 1 species
AAUGCGAGCAAUCGUGACCAGGGAACUCCAAGUGGCUGGGGUAAUACCCAGUUUUUUCUUGACUCUUCAAAGGUCUUGGAAUAAGGGGUGGGUAAGGACGGUGCCAGCCGCCGCGGUAAUACCGGCGCCUCAAGUGGUAGUCGCUUUUAUUGGGCCUAAAACGUCCGUAGCCGGUCUGGUGCAUUCGUGGGUAAAUCAACCCGCUCAACGGGUUGAAUUCUGCGAGCACGGCCAGACUUGGGACCGGGAGAGGUGUGGGGUACUCUCAGGGUAGGGGUAAAAUCCUGUCAUCCUGAGAGGACCACCUGUUGCGAAGGCGCCACACUAGAACGGAUUCGACGGUCAGGGACGAAACCUAGGGGCACGAACCGGAUUAGAUACCCGGGUAGUCCUAGGUGUAAACGCUGUGGACUUGAUGUUGGGGGUGCUCCGAGCACUCUCAGUGUCGAAGCGAAGGUGAUAAGUCCACUGCCUGGGGAGUACGGUCGCAAGGCUGAAACUUAAAGGAAUUGGCGGGGGAGCACUGCAACCUGAGGAUUGUGCGGUUUAAUUGGACUCAACGCCGGGA